rfam:Clostridium ventriculi strain 2789STDY5834858 genome assembly, contig: SCcontig000001
AAUUGUUGCUAGGGGUGCCAAAUAAUUGGCUGAGAGGAAAAUCCAACCCUAUGAACCUGAUAUGGUUAAUACCAGCGUAGGAAAGCAAGUAAAUUUAGCG